rnacentral:rRNA from 1 species
CUGCGGCAGCGACGCUGAUGCGUUGUUGGGUAGGGGAGCGUUCUGUAAGCCUGCGAAGGUGGCCUGUGAGGGUUGCUGGAGGUAUCAGAAGUGCGAAUGCUGACAUAAGUAACGAUAAAGCGGGUGAAAAGCCCGCUCGCCGGAAGACCAAGGGUUCCUGUCCAACGUUAAUCGGGGCAGGGUGAGUCGACCCCUAAGGCGAGGCCGAAAGGCGUAGUCGAUGGGAAACGGGUUAAUAUUCCCGUACUUGGUGUUACUGCGAAGGGGGGACGGAGAAGGCUAUGUUGGCCGGGCGACGGUUGUCCCGGUUUAAGCGUGUAGGUGUGUGUUCCAGGUAAAUCCGGUUCACUUUAACACUGAGGCGUGAUGACGAGGCACUACGGUGCUGAAGCAACAAAUGCCCUGCUUCCAGGAAAAGCCUCUAAGCAUCAGGUAACAUCAAAUCGUACCCCAAACCGACACAGGUGGUCAGGUAGAGAAUACCAAGGCGCUUGAGAGAACUCGGGUGAAGGAACUAGGCAAAAUGGUGCCGUAACUUCGGGAGAAGGCACGCUGACACGUAGGUGAAGUGAUUUACUCAUGGAGCUGAAGUCAGUCGAAGAUACCAGCUGGCUGCAACUGUUUAUUAAAAACACAGCACUGUGCAAACACGAAAGUGGACGUAUACGGUGUGACGCCUGCCCGGUGCCGGAAGGUUAAUUGAUGGGGUCAGCGCAAGCGAAGCUCCUGAUCGAAGCCCCGGUAAACGGCGGCCGUAACUAUAACGGUCCUAAGGUAGCGAAAUUCCUUGUCGGGUAAGUUCCGACCUGCACGAAUGGCGUAAUGAUGGCCAGGCUGUCUCCACCCGAGACUCAGUGAAAUUGAACUCGCUGUGAAGAUGCAGUGUACCCGCGGCAAGACGGAAAGACCCCGUGAACCUUUACUAUAGCUUGACACUGAACAUUGAGCCUUGAUGUGUAGGAUAGGUGGGAGGCUUUGAAGUGUGGACGCCAGUCUGCAUGGAGCCGGCCUUGAAAUACCACCCUUUAAUGUUUGAUGUUCUAACGUGGACCCGUGAUCCGGGUUGCGGACAGUGUCUGGUGGGUAGUUUGACUGGGGCGGUCUCCUCCUAAAGAGUAACGGAGGAGCACGAAGGUUGGCUAAUCCUGGUCGGACAUCAGGAGGUUAGUGCAAUGGCAUAAGCCAGCUUGACUGCGAGCGUGACGGCGCGAGCAGGUGCGAAAGCAGGUCAUAGUGAUCCGGUGGUUCUGAAUGGAAGGGCCAUCGCUCAACGGAUAAAAGGUACUCCGGGGAUAACAGGCUGAUACCGCCCAAGAGUUCAUAUCGACGGCGGUGUUUGGCACCUCGAUGUCGGCUCAUCACAUCCUGGGGCUGAAGUAGGUCCCAAGGGUAUGGCUGUUCGCCAUUUAAAGUGGUACGCGAGCUGGGUUUAGAACGUCGUGAGACAGUUCGGUCCCUAUCUGCCGUGGGCGCUGGAGAACUGAGGGGGGCUGCUCCUAGUACGAGAGGACCGGAGUGGACGCAUCACUGGUGUUCGGGUUGUCAUGCCAAUGGCACUGCCCGGUAGCUAAAUGCGGAAGAGAUAAGUGCUGAAAGCAUCUAAGCACGAAACUUGCCCCGAGAUGAGUUCUCCCUGAGACUUAGAGUCUCCUGAAGGAACGUUGAAGACGACGACGUUGAUAGGCCGGGUGUGUAAGCGCAGCGAUGCGUUGAGCUAACCGGUACUAAUGAACCGUGAGGCUUAACCUUACA